GGAGUUAGCCGGUGCUUCUUCUGUGAGUGAUGUCCUUCCUGCCGGUUAUUGACCCGCAGGCCUUCUUCCUCACUGAAAGUGCUUUACAACCCGAAGGCCUUCUUCACACACGCGGCAUGGCUGGAUCAGGGUUGCCCCCAUUGUCAAAUAUUCCCCACUGCUGCCUCCCGUAGGAGUCUGGGCCGUGUCUCAGUCCCAGUGUGGCUGAUCAUCCUCUCAGACCAGCUACGGAUCGUCGCCUUGGUGAGCCGUUACCUCACCAACCAGCUAAUCCGACAUAGGCUCAUCCGAUAGCGCGAGGCCCGAAGGUCCCCCGCUUUCCCCCGUAGGGCGUAUGCGGUAUUAGCCUGGGUUUCCCCAGGUUAUCCCCCACUACCGGGCAGAUUCCUAUGCAUUACUCACCCGUCCGCCGCUCGCCACCAGGGAGCAAGCUCCCCGUGCUGCCGCUCGACUUGCAUGUGUUAGGCCUGCCGCCAGCGUUCAAUCUGAGCCAUGAUCAAACUCUGA
rnacentral:rRNA from 1 species